rnacentral:rRNA from 1 species
UGAAUACGAGACGCUAAGGCGUCGAAGUAGUGUAUGUCAUACUUCCAAGAAAAGCUUGCACUGUCAUAGAUAAAAAACGCCUGUACCAUAACCGACACAGGUGGGUAGGUAGAGUAUACUAAGGGGCGCGAGAUAACUCUCUCUAAGGAACUCGGCAAAAUAACUCCGUAACUUCGGGAGAAGGAGUGCCUUAUUCUUAAGGUUGCAAUAACAAGAUCCAAGCAACUGUUUAUCAAAAACACAGGUCUCCGCUAAGUCGUAAGACGAUGUAUGGGGGCUGACGCCUGCCCAGUGCCAGAAGGUUAAAGAAGCUGGUUAGCAUUUGCGAAGCUGGUAACUGAAGCCCUGGUGAACGGCGGCCGUAACAAUAACGGUCCUAAGGUAGCGAAAUUCCUUGUCGGGUAAGUUCCGACCCGCACGAAAGGCGUAAUGAUUUGGAUACUGUCUCGGAGAGGGGCUCGGUGAAAUAGACUUGUCUGUGAAGAUGCGGACUACCUGCACCAGGACAGAAAGACCCUAUGAAGCUUUACUGUAACUUGAAAUUGAAAUUGGACUUUAUUCGCGCAGUAUAGGUGGGAGGCGUUGAUUAUAAUCUUGCGGGAUUAUUGGAGCCAUUAGUGAGAUACCACUCUUGUAAUGUUAGAUUUCUAACUUUGAAUCAUUAUCUGGUCAAAGAACAGUUUCAGGCGGGCAGUUUGACUGGGGCGGUCGCCUCCCAAACGGUAACGGAGGCGUACAAAGGUUUCCUCUGAACGGUUAGAAAUCGUAUCUAGAGUGUAAAGGCAUAAGGAAGCUUGACUGUGAGACCUACAAGUCGAGCAGGGACGAAAGUCGGUCUUAGUGAUCUGACGGUACUGAGUGGAAAGGCCGUCACUCAACGGAUAAAAGUUACUCUAAGGAUAACAGGCUGAUCUCCCCCAAGAGUUCACAUCGACGGGGAGGUUUGGCACCUCGAUGUCGGCUCAUCGCAUCCUGGGGCGGUAGUACGUCCCAAGGGUUGGGCUGUUCGCCCAUGAAAGCGGUACGCGAGCUGGGUUCAGAACGUCGUGAGACAGUUCGGUCCAUAUCCGGUGUAGGCGUUAGAAUAUUGAGAGGAGCCUUCUUUAGUACGAGAGGACCGAGAAGGACAUACCUCUGGUGUACCAGUUAUCGUGCCAACGGUAGACGCUGGGUAGCUAUGUAUGGAGUGGAUAACCGCUGAAAGCAUCUAAGUGGGAAGCCCACCUCAAGAUAAGUAUUCUCA